AGAGUUUGAUCAUGGCUCAGAUUGAACGCUGGCGGCAGGCCUAACACAUGCAAGUCGAACGGUAACAGGAAGCAGCUUGCUGCUUCGCUGACGAGUGGCGGACGGGUGAGUAAUGUCUGGGAAGCUGCCUGAUGGAGGGGGAUAACUACUGGAAACGGUAGCUAAUACCGCAUAAUGUCGCAAGACCAAAGAGGGGGACCUUCGGGCCUCUUGCCAUCGGAUGUGCCCAGAUGGGAUUAGCUUGUUGGUGGGGUAACGGCUCACCAAGGCGACGAUCCCUAGCUGGUCUGAGAGGAUGACCAGCCACACUGGAACUGAGACACGGUCCAGACUCCUACGGGAGGCAGCAGUGGGGAAUAUUGCACAAUGGGCGCAAGCCUGAUGCAGCCAUGCCGCGUGUAUGAAGAAGGCCUUCGGGUUGUAAAGUACUUUCAGCGGGGAGGAAGGGAGUAAAGUUAAUACCUUUGCUCAUUGACGUUGCCCGCAGAAGAAGCACCGGCUAACUCCGUGCCAGCAGCCGCGGUAAUACGGAGGGUGCAAGCGUUAAUCGGAAUUACUGGGCGUAAAGCGCACGCAGGCGGUUUGUUAAGUCAGAUGUGAAAUCCCCGGGCUCAACCUGGGAACUGCAUCUGAUACUGGCAAGCUUGAGUCUCGUAGAGGGGGGUAGAAUUCCAGGUGUAGCGGUGAAAUGCGUAGAGAUCUGGAGGAAUACCGGUGGCGAAGGCGGCCCCCUGGACGAAGACUGACGCUCAGGUGCGAAAGCGUGGGGAGCAAACAGGAUUAGAUACCCUGGUAGUCCACGCCGUAAACGAUGUCGACUUGGAGGUUGUGCCCUUGAGGCGUGGCUUCCGGAGCUAACGCGUUAAGUCGACCGCCUGGGGAGUACGGCCGCAAGGUUAAAACUCAAAUGAAUUGACGGGGGCCCGCACAAGCGGUGGAGCAUGUGGUUUAAUUCGAUGCAACGCGAAGAACCUUACCUGGUCUUGACAUCCACGGAAGUUUUCAGAGAUGAGAAUGUGCCUUCGGGAACCGUGAGACAGGUGCUGCAUGGCUGUCGUCAGCUCGUGUUGUGAAAUGUUGGGUUAAGUCCCGCAACGAGCGCAACCCUUAUCCUUUGUUGCCAGCGGUCCGGCCGGGAACUCAAAGGAGACUGCCAGUGAUAAACUGGAGGAAGGUGGGGAUGACGUCAAGUCAUCAUGGCCCUUACGACCAGGGCUACACACGUGCUACAAUGGCGCAUACAAAGAGAAGCGACCUCGCGAGAGCAAGCGGACCUCAUAAAGUGCGUCGUAGUCCGGAUUGGAGUCUGCAACUCGACUCCAUGAAGUCGGAAUCGCUAGUAAUCGUGGAUCAGAAUGCCACGGUGAAUACGUUCCCGGGCCUUGUACACACCGCCCGUCACACCAUGGGAGUGGGUUGCAAAAGAAGUAGGUAGCUUAACCUUCGGGAGGGCGCUUACCACUUUGUGAUUCAUGACUGGGGUGAAGUCGUAACAAGGUAACCGUAGGGGACCUGCGGUUG
rnacentral:rRNA from 1 species